rnacentral:lncRNA from 1 species
UAGAUAAAGAUUUAAAGUGGGAUGUACAAAACAGUUGAUGCCAUACAAUGGGAACUCAACAGCCAUUUUAAGACGCCUGGAGGGUUAGUCUUGGAAUUGCACAAGGAAUUCUAAAAGAACACUAAAUUAAUCUUCAUCAAUUGAAGCCGGCCAAGGAAGGGUCUCACCUUCUAAAAAACCCUAAUAUAAUAGCAGGUAAAUGAAUCAUUUGUCGUCCAACCAACCAACUGGUGGCGAUUCGUGACCAGGAAAUCGAAAGAGAGAGGAAGAUGGAGUCUUUAGGCGGCGGCGAUGAUGAUAUCCGUUUGAAGGUGGUAGGAUCUGUAUAUGCAAGUCAUCCCGAGGAGCAUACAGAAGCUGCGGGAUCUAUACUUUGUAAGGUGCUCGAUGAAAUGUCUGUGUGAAAGGUCUCCUGAGUAUCAGCAGUGGCAGCCAGAGCCAGUGCAGGAGAUAGAGCCGGAGUGGCGGCAGAAGAACCAAAUUCUUUAACGUUAAACACAGAUGAUGUUAACACCACUCUACACACUACAAGCUGGUUUCAAAAUUGCACAUGCUGGUUGAUGGAGUCAUAAGUAGUUAUGAUAAGUUUUCUUUAAUGAUAUUGCGUGGGAAUUAUAUGACUUCUUUUGGGGUGAUUUUGCUGAUUGGUACAUUGAAGCAAGUAAUGCACAUCUUUACCAAUCAGAAGAU